rnacentral:rRNA from 1 species
GAUAAACGCUAGCGGCAGGCUUAACACAUGCAAGUCGAGGGGCAGCAUAGAUUGUAGCAAUACAAUUGGUGGCGACCGGCGCACGGGUGCGUAACGCGUAUGCAACCUACCCGUCACAGGGGGAUAAUCCGGAGAAAUCUGGUCUAAUACCCCAUAACAUAUGGAUCGGCAUCGGUUCAUGUUGAAAUUUUCGGAGGUGACGGAUGGGCAUGCGUAGCAUUAGCUUGUUGGUGAGGUAACGGCUCACCAAGGCGACGAUGCUUAGGGGGACUGAGAGGUUUUCCCCCCACACUGGUACUGAGACACGGACCAGACUCCUACGGGAGGCAGCAGUGAGGAAUAUUGGUCAAUGGGCGCAAGCCUGAACCAGCCAUGCCGCGUGCAGGAUGACGGCUCUAUGAGUUGUAAACUGCUUUUGUACGAGGGUAAAGUGGUUACGUGUAACCUUUUGAAAGUAUCGUACGAAUAAGGAUCGGCUAACUCCGUGCCAGCCGCCGCCGUAA